rnacentral:rRNA from 1 species
UACGGAGGGUGCAAGCGUUAUCCGGAUUCACUGGGUUUAAAGGGUGCGUAGGUGGGUCUGUAAGUCAGUGGUGAAAUCUCCGAGCUUAACUCGGAAACUGCCAUUGAUACUAUAGAUCUUGAAUUAUCUGGAGGUGAGCGGAAUAUGUCAUGUAGCGGUGAAAUGCUUAGAUAUGACAUAGAACACCAAUUGCGAAGGCAGCUCACUACGGAUUGAUUGACACUGAGGCACGAAAGCGUGGGGAUCAAACAGG